rnacentral:rRNA from 1 species
GAUGAACGCUGGCGGCGUGCCUAAUACAUGCAAGUCGAGCGAACGGACGAGAAGCUUGCUUCUCUGAUGUUAGCGGCGGACGGGUGAGUAACACGUGGAUAACCUACCUAUAAGACUGGGAUAACUUCGGGAAACCGGAGCUAAUACCGGAUAAUAUUUUGAACCGCAUGGUUCAAAAGUGAAAGACGGUCUUGCUGUCACUUAUAGAUGGAUCCGCGCUGCAUUAGCUAGUUGGUAAGGUAACGGCUUACCAAGGCAACGAUGCAUAGCCGACCUGAGAGGGUGAUCGGCCACACUGGAACUGAGACACGGUCCAGACUCCUACGGGAGGCAGCAGUAGGGAAUCUUCCGCAAUGGGCGAAAGCCUGACGGAGCAACGCCGCGUGAGUGAUGAAGGUCUUCGGAUCGUAAAACUCUGUUAUUAGGGAAGAACAUAUGUGUAAGUAACUGUGCACAUCUUGACGGUACCUAAUCAGAAAGCCACGGCUAACUACGUGCCAGCAGCCGCGGUAAUACGUAGGUGGCAAGCGUUAUCCGGAAUUAUUGGGCGUAAAGCGCGCGUAGGCGGUUUUUUAAGUCUGAUGUGAAAGCCCACGGCUCAACCGUGGAGGGUCAUUGGAAACUGGAAAACUUGAGUGCAGAAGAGGAAAGUGGAAUUCCAUGUGUAGCGGUGAAAUGCGCAGAGAUAUGGAGGAACACCAGUGGCGAAGGCGACUUUCUGGUCUGUAACUGACGCUGAUGUGCGAAGGCGUGGGGAUCAAACAGGAUUAGAUACCCUGGUAGUCCACGCCGUAAACGAUGAGUGCUAAGUGUUAGGGGGUUUCCGCCCCUUAGUGCUGCAGCUAACGCAUUAAGCACUCCGCCUGGGGAGUACGACCGCAAGGUUGAAACUCAAAGGAAUUGACGGGGACCCGCACAAGCGGUGGAGCAUGUGGUUUAAUUCGAAGCAACGCGAAGAACCUUACCAAAUCUUGACAUCCUUUGACAACUCUAGAGAUAGAGCUUUCCCCUUCGGGGGACAAAGUGACAGGUGGUGCAUGGUUGUCGUCAGCUCGUGUCGUGAGAUGUUGGGUUAAGUCCCGCAACGAGCGCAACCCUUAAGCUUAGUUGCCAUCAUUAAGUUGGGCACUCUAAGUUGACUGCCGGUGACAAACCGGAGGAAGGUGGGGAUGACGUCAAAUCAUCAUGCCCCUUAUGAUUUGGGCUACACACGUGCUACAAUGGACAAUACAAAGGGCAGCGAAACCGCGAGGUCAAGCAAAUCCCAUAAAGUUGUUCUCAGUUCGGAUUGUAGUCUGCAACUCGACUACAUGAAGCUGGAAUCGCUAGUAAUCGUAGAUCAGCAUGCUACGGUGAAUACGUUCCCGGGUCU